rnacentral:rRNA from 1 species
UUAAGCUAAGAAGAGCGUAGGGAGAAUGCCUUGGCAUUAGGAGCCGAUGAAGGACGUGAUAAGCUGCGAUAAGCUGCGGGGAUCAGCAAGUAUGAAUUGAUCCGCAGAUUUCCGAAUGGAGCAAUCCGUAUGUGUAUGCACAUACAUCAUAUACUGAAUCAAAUAGGUAUAUGAGGGGAACCGCCUGAACUGAAACAUCUAAGUAGGGCGAGGAAGAGAAAUCAACCGAGAUUCUGUGAGUAGUGGCGAGCGAAAGCGGAAGAGGCUAAACCAUAGGUAGCAAUACUUAUGGGGUUUCGGACAGCAUUUAGUAUUGAUAAUUUCUAGUUGAAACGUGUGGGAAAACGUACCGAAGAGUGUGAGAGUCACGUAAGCGAAAGAGAAAGUCAGCGAGCUGUAUCCAAAGUACCGCGGGACACGUGAAACCCCGUGGGAAGAUGGGGGGACCAUCCUCCAAGCCUAAAUACUACCUAAUGACCGAUAGCGAAUAGUACUGUGAAGGAACGGUGAAAAGAACCCCGGGAGGGGAGUGAAAAAGAACCUGAAACCCUAUGCUUACAAGCACCGAGAGCACGUCAAAGUGUGAUCGGGUACCUUUUGUAGAAUGGUCCGGCGAGUUAUUGUAUGCGGCAAGGUUAAGUGCUUAAGGCACGGAGCCGAAGCGAGAGCAAGUCUGAACAGGGCGAAAAAGUCGUAUGCAAUAGACCCGAAACCGAGUGACCUAUCCAUGUCCAGGCUGAAGUGGAGGUAAAACUCCAUGGAGGGCCGAACACACGUCCGUUGAAAAGGCCGGUGAUGAGGUGUGGAUAGCGGAGAAAUUCCAAUCGAACUCGGAUAUAGCUGGUUCUCUCCGAAAUAGCUUUAGGGCUAGCCUCGUGAAAGAUUACUGGAGGUAAAGCACUGAAUGGGCUAGGGGUCGAAAGAUUACUGAACCCUAUCAAACUAAGAAUGCCAGAUAAUUGAUUCACGGGAGUCAGACAAUGUGAGAUAAGUCUCAUUGUCAAAAGGGAAACAGCCCAGACCCACAGCUAAGGUCCCUAAACAUUGUUAAGUGGAAAAGGAUGUGGGGUUGCAUAAACAACCAGGAUGUUGGCUUAGAAGCAGCCACUCAUUAAAAGAGUGCGUAAUAGCUCACUGGUCGAGUGACCCUGCGCCGAAAAUUCAACGGGGCUAAACAAUGUACCGAAGCUUGGGAUUCUAAAGUAAUUUAGAGUGGUAGGAGAGCGUCGAAUAAGGGGUGAAGUCAGAGCGGAAGCGCUGGUGGACUUUAUUCGAGUGAGAAUGCCGGAAUGAGUAGCGAGAAUUAUGUGAGAAUCAUAAUGGCCGAAAAUCUAAGGUUUCCUGAGGAAGGUUCGUCCGCUCAGGGUAAGCCGGGGGCUAAGGCGAGGCGGAGACGCGUAGCCGAUGCACAUACGGUUGAAAUUCCGUAGCCACCGAAAGAUUUAAGUACAGGGACGCUUUAGAAGUGAUGUAGCCGGGCGAUGGUUGACCCGGUCGUAAGGGAUCGAAAAUGAGUAGAGAAGUCAUCAUGGAAAGAGACAAGAAAAGCUGUAUGAAUAUCUUAGGUGCCCGUACCGCAAACCGACACAGGUAGAUAGGAAGAAGAUUCUAAGGCCAACGGGAGAAGGGUUGUUAAGGAACUCGGCAAGUUGACCCCGUAACUUAGGGAUAAGGGGUGCUCAAGUGAUUGAGCCGCAGAGAAUAGGCCCAGGCGACUGUUUAGCAAAAACACAGGUCUCUGCUAAAUCGAAAGAUGACGUAUAGGGGCUGACACCUGCCCGGUGCCGGAAGGUUAAGAGGAGAUGUGAGAGCAUUGAAUUGAAGCCCCGGUAAACGGCGGCCGUAACUAUAACGGUCCUAAGGUAGCGAAAUUCCUUGUCAGGUAAG